AGGCUAUUGCAGUGGGCCUGGUGUAGUGGCACUGCUGAGACAUGGCUGAACCAUUGAGAGAUAUGAAGGCAGACGGACCAUGUGCCUCCAGCUCAUGUGGUCUCUCUAGGGGGUAUGGUGGGUUGGGAAUUCAUUGUGCCCUCUAUGUGCUAAACAUUGUCCUAUGUGCUUCACAUACAGUAUCGUCUUGUGAAGUUCUCUGGCAUCCUGUUGAGGAAGAUAUGUUUUUUCCCAUUUUACAGAUGUUGAAGUCCAAAGAGGUGAACAAUGGAAUGACAUCAGCCGUGAGUCAGCGGGGAGUGCCUGAGGAUGGAGGCUCUAUGGCUCCCUGGAGAUCUCUUAGUGUGUCCACAUGCCGGGUUUCUCAUCUGUGA
rnacentral:lncRNA from 1 species